CCCAAAUAAUAGCUUCAGGGCUCUCAUUUUCCAUUUCUUGGCUCUGCUUUUUCUGUGUUGCCUCAUUUCCUUCAGUAGUAAAUAGACACUCUAGAGUUGUGAAGGGAGGUUCCAUGCUUCCAGUGUCCCAUCCUAGCAAACCCAAGAGCAAGAGCACCUCUUUUCUUUCUAACUGUUCUAGCAGAAAAUCCCCAUGACGGAUCUUACUGAUGGUACUGAGUCUGCGCCCACCCCUAACCCAUCACUGUUUGAAGGCAAGGGUUAUGUCGAGUUGGACCACUCAGAUUAGCUGUAACCUGCCAAGGACAGGAUGAGGAGUAGGGUCAGCUCCGCCACUUGUGGGUGCUCUGGUGCACCACCCAACUUCCCCAUUUGGGAUGGUGCCACUCAUUCCCCCAGCUGCUGGGAGUAGCGGCAGGUGAUGCCUCGCAGCCAAGUCCCUCUCUGGGAACUACCCUUAGCCCAGCACCCCUUCCAGGGUCAGCUCUCAUUCAGUGAUUGAUGUGGGGUGUAUAAGAUCUGAACCCCAGUGCCCUUGCCUCGAUUUGGGACAUCUAAGAGUGAUCCCAGCUCCAAAGGAUCUGGGUCAUCUGAGGCCUUUACGGCAACCACUUCACAGUUCAGCUCCCUCUGCCCAAUCUCCACUUCCUGGACUCCCCCACCGGUGUUGGCUUUAACACUCCCAAUGUACUUGCUGCAUGAAAAUCUCCAUCUCAGAGUCUGUUUUUCUGGGGAACCUAAUCCACAUGGACUUAAGGGGAAGUGGGGUGGUUCCCCAAAGGAAAACCAGGAUGCUGAUACCAGAAGGGAGCCAGAGGCAGACAAAAACAAAUAUACCUUGCAUCAAUUAUUUUUAAUGACUGCAUGGUAUUCCAUUGUACUAGAUCAUUAUUUACCUACUGCCCUAUUUAACACUAUGAUGACCCUCUUGAACAUAUAGCUUUGUGCGUGUCUGUUUUACUUCCUUAGGAUGCAUUCCUAAAAUUGGAAUUGAUGAAUCAAAGAAUAUAAACAGUUUUAAAAACAUUUCCCUACUAUAUCCUCUAGAAGAUGGUAGCACCUGCUAUUCGCACCAAAGGCUACCUAUUGCUCUACACCCUCACAAGUCUCUUAAAUGUCUCAACUGUUGAGGCUGAACAUUUCUGUUCAUUUUGUGAGCUCUAUGUUCAGUAUUUGGGGUGUUAAGAGUUUUUAUCUAUAAGAAGAGCAGAUUUGCAAAUUUUAAAGCCCUCUUUAGUGGUUAAGUUACCUCACUACAAAGAACUUAACAUAUAUUCUAGUCAAAAGAUGACAGUACAUGUUAGAAACAUUACUAAAUUAGUAAGACAGAAAUGUCAUGUGUCAAAAAGAUGUAGCAAAGAACUCAGAGCAAAGAUACAGUCUGGAAGGAUUAGAAAAAGCUCUUCAUAGAUGAUGAUGCUUAGACCUUGAGAAUCUGUCCUGCAGAUGGCGUAGAGAGCACAGGGGGAAACUUUCCAACAAGAGGAGAGGAGGCCAGGCACACGUGGAAUGACCGAAUGGAAAAGGCUGUUGUGAAUAACAGAAGAUACAAAACUGUUAAAACUGAAAGUCACAGAAAACCUCAAAAAGAGACAGAAGUUUGUGACAAAAGGUGGGGUAGCCACAUGCCUGGCUGGAAUGAGGCCCCUGAUAGGACUGUGAAGGCAGGAGAAGAAACUCAGAAGAGUAAAUCAACAGUACUUCCGGUGGUUAUGAAAUGCAAAGAAAAGGAGGCAGUGGCAUCUGAAGCAGCAAGUGGGCUGAAACUGACAUUUGUGACAGAAAUUCGGAAACGGCUAGGUUUUACGAGAGGAGUAAAGAACAAAGAUGAGUUUGGCUUAGGAGAAACUACAUCAACUGCACUACCAUGUGCCUCUAGGCUGUAAAAAAUGUUUAGUGGCACAAUGCUGAUGUGAGAGACAUUUGCAUAGCGCAAUGACAGCUGAAGAAAUGAGAUUCUAACUAACUAGAAGUGGCUGUGGGGUUGCCCACAGUGAGGGGACACACAAUGUAUACUUUGUGUCAGCCAUGAAGUAGCAGAAAAAGUCCAGGGGUGUGCCCCAUCUCCUUCCCUCAAGCCCGUACAAGCCCACCUCCCCUGCCCACCUCUGUAUGAAACACUAUGAUUGACUUUUGCACUCUUCUUGGAGAGAAGUAGUCUGGCUUGAAACAACCAGGUUUUAGCAUACAGCCUCCUUCAGUGAUGCAUGGACUAGCAGCCUAGAUGCCACUUGUAAUUAAGGAGGACUGACCAUCUGUGCUUCGCUUUAUACUUUACAAUAUCUUCUCAUCGACUAUUUUUGAUCUAUUUUCUUCGAUCAUGGAACUUCAGAGUGGAGAAACCUUGAGAUAAUAUAGUCCACCCUCAACUUUAGAGAUGAGGAAAUAAGUGUUCUUCAGUAAAUGUAAGCCUUGAACUAGCAAGCAGCUGACUACUCUGUUGUCUCUGAAAGUUUAUUCUUUCCUGAGUUGUCUCAGCUUCUUCACCUUGUACUGAAAGGCACAAGGGGCAGCCAGUUGCUUUUAAAACAGUGCCAACACUACAGAGCAUCAUCACUUGUUCACUCUACCACAGUACCUUGCAUAAGAACUUUGAAGCACAGUUAUUUUUCUGAGGGAAGAAGAGAGAAGAAUCAUAAUCCUUCUGUUAAGGAGAGUCCAUUCAUCUUGACCCAUGCAGUUGCCAUGAUUGAAAAAAAACUAAGAACUUUUACCAAAUGAACAGGCUAUUGCUGGGGGCAAUUCCAGGAAUGACAUUUCUAGAAAGUCAGGAAGAAAUGCAGCAAUCUAGCAGG